rnacentral:rRNA from 1 species
CCUACGAGUGGCAGCAGUGAGGAAUAUUGGUCAAUGGACGGAAGUCUGAACCAGCAAUGCCGCGUGCAGGAAGACGGCUCUAUGAGUUGUAAACUUCUUUUGUACAAGGGUAAACCUGAAUACGUGUAUUCAGCUGAAAGUACUGUACGAAUAAGGAUCGGCUAACUGAGUGCCAACAGCUGCGGUAAUACAGAGGAUCCAAGCGGUAUCCGGAUUUAUUGGGUUUAAAGGGUGCGUAGGCGGAUUGAUAAGUUCGUGGUGAAAUUUCCGAGCUUAACUCGGGAACUGCCUCUAAUACGGUUGAUCUAGAGAGUAGAUGCGGUAGGCGGAAUGUAUGGUGUAGCGGUGAAAUGCUUAGAGAUCAUACAGAACACCGAUUGCGAAGGCAGCUUACCAAUCUAUAUCUGACGUUGAGGCACGAAAGCGUGGGGAGCAAACAGGAUUAGAUACCCCUGUAGUC